UUCAAAAAGGGCUCCAAUCCUAUCUUUCUUUCACUUAUGCUUUCUCAUUCUCCUUAUUCUCGCUCUCAUCAUUAAUAGUUUUCACAUUAUCACCAUUAGCAACAAGUUUGUGGAUAACGUUCAUAUUCAUGUUAAUGAAGGCUUAUACACCUACUUCGCAUUUUUAGAGCUGUUCGCAUUCUUCAUAUUGUUCCUCUGUACUGCAUUUUAUUUCUCAACAGUCUUUAAAACUUCUCAUCCUCUACCUUUUUGAGUUUAGGUAUCAUUAUUAGUCUGUCUUCCUGUUGUCAGUAGCUUUCUCAACCCUUUAAUUUUUAAUGAUUUUCGUAGAAGCAUUCUUCUUGUUUUUCUCCUUUUCAUUAAACUUGCAGUCUUGAAUAACGUGAUCUUGGUAUUCACAGUGAGAGUAAUGCUUUGAAAUAGACUCAUCUUCAACAAAUUGGGCAAAUCAACCAAGGGAGUUCCUUUCUUCAUCAAAAGCGCCCACCCAAUUAGGUGGGUAAUGGACUUCAGAAAUCAACUCACUCAUCUUGACCAUAAGAGCUCAGGUACAACAAGGGCCAACGAAGGGUAUUCCGGGCAAUUUUGAGUGAUCCCGAGGCUGUGUACGUCGAUUGAACGUUGCGAAGGAAGUUCCAGCACUUGAAGGCAAAAUCUGACCACUGAAGGGUCUCAUGCGCCGCACAGCCAGCGCACAAAAACACCAUUCCUGAAUCUCAGACAGACUAUGCGCUCGUCAUGCGCCGCACAAGAAGAACAUAAAGGAGGUUAUGCGCUGGCCAUGCAACGCACAGCCAGCGCACAAGCAACGUCAGUUGUCCUAUUUAGAUCGGGAUUGGGCCCACUUAUUGAUAUUUGCCCUAGCUUAUAAAUAGUCGUUUUUACAUUAGAAUAGAGGACUUUUGACCUAGAGAGAGUAGGAGCCGCCGUGGAGGCCGGAGAUUAUUGGGUUUUAUCUUUUCUUCUCCUUAUUACUAGUUUGUAUAUUUUCUUUGAAUGAUUUGUUGCUUUUCCUCCAUGUCUAUGUGGAGCUAAACGUCUCGUUCCAGGGUAGUAGUAAACCAU